GCAGUCGACGGACUUAAUCGAAAUAUUUAUAUUUUGAAGCGGUUAGUGGCGGACUGGUGAGUAACGCGUAAGGAACCUGCCUAUUAGAGGGGAAUAACAGUGAGAAAUCAUUGCUAAUACCGCAUAUGCCAUAGAUAUCACAUGAUAACAGUGGGAAAGGAGCAAUCCGCUAAUAGAUGGCCUUGCGUCUGAUUAGAUAGUUGGUGGGGUAACGGCCUACCAAGUCGACGAUCAGUAGCCGGACUGAGAGGUUGAACGGCCACAUUGGGACUGAGAUACGGCCCAGACUCCUACGGGAGGCAGCAGUCGGGAAUAUUGCGCAAUGGAGGAAACUCUGACGCAGUGACGCCGCGUAUAGGAAGAAGGUUUUCGGAUUGUAAACUAUUGUCGUUAGGGAAGAGAAAGGACAGUACCUAAGGAGGAAGCUCCGGCUAACUACGUGCCAGCAGCCGCGGUAAUACGUAGGGAGCGAGCGUUAUCCGGAAUUAUUGGGUGUAAAGGGUGCGUAGACGGGAGAACAAGUUAGUUGUGAAAUACCUCGGCUCAACUGAGGAACUGCAACUAAAACUGUACUUCUUGAGUGCAGGAGAGGUAAGUGGAAUUCCUAGUGUAGCGGUGAAAUGCGUAGAUAUUAGGAGGAACACCAGUGGCGAAGGCGACUUACUGGACUGUAACUGACGUUGAGGCACGAAAGUGUGGG
rnacentral:rRNA from 1 species